rnacentral:rRNA from 1 species
CCUACGGGCGGCAGCAGUGAGGAAUAUUGGUCAAGGGACGCAAGUCUGAACCAGCCAUGCCGCGUGCAGGAAGAAGGCUCUAUGAGUUGUAAACUGCUUUUGUACGAGGGUAAACGCAGAUAGGCGUAUCUGCCUGAAAGGAGCGUACGAAUAAGGAUCGGCUAACUCCGUGCCAGCAGCCGCGGUAAUACGGAGGAUUCAAGCGUUAUCCGGAUUGAUUGGGUUUAAAGGGUGCGGAGGCGGUCGGAUAAGUUAGAGGUGAAAUCCCGAGGGUUCACUUCGGAAUUGCCUCUGAUACUGUUAGGCUAGAGUGUAGUUGCGGUAGGCGGAAUGUAUGGUGUAGCGGUGCUAUGCUUA